CAACUUACACGCGACGUGGGCUAGAUGGGCCGGAUGGCUAGAGCCAUGUGGGCUGUCCACGGAUGGCCCGUUUACUCGUUCCUCUCUGGGCUGUCAGUUUCUUUUUCGCCUCCCCUAUAUAUGGAUCUCUCCGCCUCUACUCCGCUGUUGGAUUGGAACAGUCGCUCUCAGGCUAGUCGCCGUCGGUUCCAAUCCAAUAACCACGCCGUUCCGGUCGCGCUGCACCGCCGUCCGCCGCGGCCGCCGCCGCCCGGCGCCCGCGGUUAGCCUAGGGUCAGUUUCGGACAGCGGCCAGCGCGUCCGGCACUAUCAUGGAAAACAUGUUCGAUUUCAACAGCGAAGACUUUGAUGAGCUUGCUCUUGAUGGAAGCAAUUACUUGGAACGGGCUAUUGAGGCUCAAAUCCAUUUAGGCAUGAAAGGUCUCUGUACGGCACUUAUCUCUAAUUCAGAGUGUACCGAGACCCAAAAGAGGGAGGCAUUGGCUUUUCUUUGGCGCCAUUUAAACAAAGGAUUUCGGACUGAUUAUCGCGCUGAAAGAGAUCCAUUUGUCUUAUGGCAAUCCCUGAAGGAUCGAUUUGAAGAAGAGCAGAAGGCCAGGGUCCUAUAUCAAGCUCAGAAUGACUGGUUGAACUUGCGUUUCCAUGACUACAAGCUUGUGUCUGAAUAUGACUCAGCUCUCCAUCUCAUAAUCUCUCGAUUCAAAAUUUGUGGUAGAGAAAUCACGCAGGAGGAGUUAAUUGAGAAGACAUUAUCUACAUUUCAUCCAAUUAACCUUCAUCUACAUCGGCAAUACAGGGCUGCAAGAUAUGAGAAGUACUAUGACCUGCUAUGGACAUUAAGAGAGGCUGAAGCUCACAAGCUGUUGCUCAUGAAAGGUCAGUAUAAUGACCGACCAACGGGUGCAUCAACGAGUAGGACGAACUGGUUACGAGCUAGAGGUCAAGGGCGAGGUGGAAACCGACGGCGAAGAGGAAAGUACAAUGGAAGAAAAUAAAUCACAUUUGUGGUUGUAGCUCAACAAAGGAUGCUGACAGAUGAGGUCAUUGAGGACACCAAACGUGGAUAACAUAUUUGCCUGAACUUUCUAUGGUGGUUUUGGUGAUGCGUACUGACGAGGUCAUGAAAAAUGUCAAUUAUCCGCAUUUGUUAUUUUUAGAUAUAUGCUAGUAUGUCAUUGUCCGGACUUUGUCAUAUAUAGAUACUUCCUGUGUUCUGGUUAAGUUACAUCUUACAUGUAUUCUUUAGUGAAAUUGUUAAGUGAAAAUUGAGUGGGUAUUAAGUUAGAUUUUAGUAAAGUCCCUUUUACUUAUAGCUAAUUUUAUUUCUGUUUUUUCACAGUUUUUUCAUUGCUUUCAACUUAGUUGUAUCAUGUUCACAAACUCACCGUCCAGAUGUACUCUCUGAAUUACAGGUUAACUA